AACCAGCACCUCAAGUGGUCAGGAUGAUUAUUGGGCCUAAAGCAUCCGUAGCCGGCUCUGUAAGUUUUCGGUUAAAUCUGUACGCUCAACGUACAGGCUGCCGGGAAUACUGCAGAGCUAGGGAGUGGGAGAGGUAGACGGUACUCGGUAGGAAGGGGUAAAAUCCUUUGAUCUAUCGAUGACCACCUGUGGCGAAGGCGGCCUUCUGGUCUGAUACUGACGCUGAGAUACGAAAGCCAGGGGAGCGAACGGG
rnacentral:rRNA from 1 species